rnacentral:rRNA from 1 species
UCGGGAAUUUUGGGCAAUGGGGGAAACCCUGGCCCAGCAACGCCGCGUGAAGGAUGAAGUAUUUCGGUAUGUAAACUUCGAAAGAAUAGGAAGAAUAAAUGACGGUACUAUUUAUAAGGUCCGGCUAACUACGUGCCAGCAGCCGCGGUAAUACGUAGGGACCAAGCGUUGUUCGGAUUUACUGGGCGUAAAGGGCGCGUAGGCGGCAUGACAAGUCACUUGUGAAAUCUCUGGGCUUAACCCAGAACGGCCAAGUGAUACUGUCGCGCUAGAGUGCAGAAGGGGCAAUCGGAAUUCUUGGUGUAGCGGUGAAAUGCGUAGAUAUCAAGAGGAACACCUGAGGUGAAGACGGGUUGCUGGGCUGACACUGACGCUGAGGCGCGAAAGCCAGGGGAGCAAACGGGAUUAGAUACCCACGUAGUCCUGAGCGGGCUGGCAAGGCGCAU